UACGGGGGGGGGCAAGCGUUUGUUCGGAAUUACUGGGCGUAAAGGGCUCGUAGGCGCCAACUAAGUCAGACGUGAAAUCCCUCGGCUUAACCGGGGAACUGCGUCUGAUACUGGAUGGCUAGAGUUUGGGAGAGGGAUGCGGAAUUCCAGGUGUAGCGGUGAAAUGCGUAGAUAUCCGGAGGAACACCGGUGGCGAAGGCGGCUUCCUGGACCGACACUGACGCUGAGGCGCGAAAGCUAGGGGAGCAAACGGG
rnacentral:rRNA from 1 species